AGUGAACGCUGGCGGUAGGCCUAACACAUGCAAGUCGAACGGCAGCACAGUAAGAGCUUGCUCUUACGGGUGGCGAGUGGCGGACGGGUGAGGAAUACAUCGGAAUCUACUUUUUCGUGGGGGAUAACGUAGGGAAACUUACGCUAAUACCGCAUACGACCUACGGGUGAAAGCAGGGGAUCUUCGGACCUUGCGCGAUUGAAUGAGCCGAUGUCGGAUUAGCUAGUUGGCGGGGUAAAGGCCACCAGGGCGACGAUCCGUAGCUGGUCUGAGAGGAUGAUCAGCCACACUGGAACUGAGACACGGUCCAGACUCCUACGGGAGGCAGCAGUGGGGAAUAUUGGACAAUGGGCGCAAGCCUGAUCCAGCCAUACCGCGUGGGUGAAGAAGGCCUUCGGGUUGUAAAGCCCUUUUGUUGGGAAAGAAAAGCAGCAGGUUAAUACCCCGCUGUUCUGACGGUACCCAAAGAAUAAGCACCGGCUAACUUCG
rnacentral:rRNA from 1 species